rnacentral:rRNA from 1 species
UUCCGGUUGAUCCCGCCGGACCUGACUGCUAUCGGAUUGAUACUAAGCCAUGCGAGUCAUUGUAGUAAUACAAGGCAGACGGCUCAGUAACGCGUAGUCAACCUACCCUAUGGACGGGGAUAACCUCGGGAAACUGAGAAUAAUACCCGAUAGAACAUUAUUCCUGGAAUGGUUUAUGUUUCAAAUAAUUUAUUGCCGUAGGAUGGGACUGCGGCCUAUCAGUUUGUUGGUGAGGUAAUGGCCCACCAAGACUAUUACAGGUACGGGCUCUGAGAGGAGUAGCCCGGAGAUGGGUACUGAGACACGGACCCAGGCCCUAUGGGGCGCAGCAGGCGAGAAAACUUUGCAAUGUGCGAAAGCACGACAAGGUUAAUCCGAGUGGUUUCUGCUAAAGGAACCUUUUGUCAGUCCUAGAAACACUGAUGAAUAAGGGGUGGGCAAGUUCUGGUGUCAGCCGCCGCGGUAAAACCAGCACCUCAAGUGGUCAGGAUGAUUAUUGGGCCUAAAGCAUCCGUAGCCUGCUUUGUUAGUUUUCGGUUAAAUCCAUAUGCUCAACGUAUGGGCUGCCGGGAAUACUGCAAAGCUAGGGAGUGGGAGAGGUAGACGGUACUCGGUAGGAAGGGGUAAAAUCCUUUGAUCUAUUGAUGACACCUGUGGCGAAGGCGGUCUACCAGAACACGUCCGACGGUGAGGGAUGAAAGCUGGGGGAGCAAACCGGAUUAGAUACCCGGGUAGUCCCAGCUGUAAACUAUGCAAACUCAGUGAUGCAUUGGCUUGAUGCCAAUGCAGUGCUGCAGGGAAGCCGUUAAGUUUGCCGCCUGGGAAGUACGUACGCAAGUAUGAAACUUAAAGGAAUUGGCGGGGGAGCACCACAAGGGUGAAGCCUGCGGUUCAAUUGGAUUCAACGCCGGAA